GCCUCUGUAGCUCAGUUGGUUAGAGCGCUGCACCGGAAUCGCAGAGCUGUUGGUUCAAUUCCUCCCAGAGGAC
rnacentral:tRNA from 1 species